UUAAGGGCAGCAGACGUUGGAAACACGUACCUGACGUCACGGUCCCUGCCCCAGCUGCCCAGGAGAAGGAGGAAUCCCGCCGCCUAGAGAUGCUGCAUCCUCCACGCAAUGUGAGGAGGUGGACGAGGCUGUAAAAGAAUGAUGGAAGCUCAGAGGGGAUGUGGAUUUGCUGACAAAGUGAGGACCCAAUAAUUUCCAGACAUCAGACUCGGCAGAGGAAGAUGUAGCUGGAAGAUGACCUGGCUUCUGGGACAGAUGAAGAAGAAAAGAAUAGGAAAGACAACAUAGAAGACAUCUCUUGAAAAGAAUGUAAGGAUAGGUUUCGAGUUCUCCGUCGCCAUGAAGAAGUACAACCAUAAACAAUGCAGGAUGACAUGAUGAAGAAUAAAGAGAAAUGGAAUAAAAAUUUAAAUUGAGUAAUUUUUGUAUGUACCAACUUUGUAUUACCAACAUUACCACAAUCAUGAAUGUAGUUUUGCUAAUAAUUUGUGAAUGUGAACCUUCAAAAAUGUAUUUUGGUCUAAUAUUGUGUUUGUUGUCUCAGUCCAUAAUGCUGUAUCCGACUAUCCAUACAUUUUGUAAUAUUAGGUUCUUUUUUACUUUAUUUUUUUGGAAUUGUAACAGGAAAAAAAAAAACAUUAUGACUUUACAGAGUAGUCUGGUACAAAACAUCUUAGCCCUUAUCCAAAAUAUAGGGGAGAACGGCCGUAAUCUUGCUGCUGCAUACCGCAUGCUAUGCGUUGUGUUAUUCUGCAUUUUGCAAUAGGUUUGGCCUUCCCAGACGGGCAAGUGAUGUCAUGCUACGCCACCUCCUUUCAUAUUUAUGCUAGGGUGCGAAUAUGCAGCAACGCCCCCUCCCAUAUACAGUAAAGGAGGUGGCGUGGCGCAACGUAACUUUUCCAUCUGUAAAGCUAAUAGGUUUCAACAACUAGAGACACAGCUCCACAUAUAAUGCAGUCUGUUGCAGGUAGAUUGCGGUUGGUCCCCCAAAAUUUGUCAUUUUUUUCCCCUAUUAGUUUGAGAGUGGCUAAGAUGGCUUUGGCUAUAAGAACUCUUUAAUUAUUAUGUACACCUUGUUUACAUAUUAUCUAUAUUUUUUCCAAAUAUAUGAUUAUG